UAGCCGGAGGCGGGCUCCGCCGCACGAGGCUGAAUAUUCGGGGCCGUUUAAAAAUAAACGGCCAACGGUUUCCUCCCCCCACCCCCCGCCCUGACGGGGAAGAGGCUCACGUACACCGAUACCAGCACUUAAAUAAAUAAGGCCAAGGUCCACCUGAUCAACCAUCAAACUGAAGAACAACUGUCACACAACAGACAACAUGUAAUGUAUGCAUUGGUAACUUCAUCGACUGUCGUAUCCCUUGAGAGAAAACUAACAAGAUUUCCCUCACUUGCUAUCUCCUCCAGUCCAGGAGAAAGGAACACUGACAGAAUGAAUCUAGAGCCGUGAAGGAAAUCAAGCUUCUUGCAGCAGCAGAGAGCAGCUUCAACUCCAAAAACGUCAACUUCAACAACUGAAAGCAAAACUAAAAACCCUGGGUCUGUGUGAGUCUGACUGCACCCACUCAUGCUACUUCUGGUGAAAUUUUGGAAAAAAACUCAAAGCUAUUUACACUGCUUUCAAUGGAGCAGAUAUGUCGGUACCUGGUUGGUAAUGCCCUCUUUAAGAAAAAUAGGACAGAACAAAUACCUCUUAGAGUCACAUAUCAUUGCACCACCCUCCUUAAAGAAUUAUCAGUAUACAAUGAUGGUUUCAUUUUCAAAACCUUUAGUUUCAUGCCGGUAGUACUCUACAUUUUAUCUAAUAUAUGUAUUCCACUAAACCCGAGCAUGCAAACAUUUAAUAUUAUAGUCCAUCUCAGUCCAUUUCUUCCGCCACCAUACACCUCCACCUUCCUUCAUUAAAGUUGUGACAAUGCAUCACCAACCACGUUCUCUCGUCCUGCUACAUGUACAACCUUCAAGUGGAAUGGCUUUAACAAUAAACUCCAUCUAAACAGUC